GGGUUAAGUCCCGUAACGAGCGCAACCCUUGUCCUUAGUUACCAGCACGUUAUGGUGGGCACUCUAAGGAGACUGCCGGUGACAACCGGAGGAAGGUGGGGAUGACGUCAAGUCAUCAUGGCCCUUACGGCCUGGGCUACACACGUGCUACAAUGGUCGGUACAAAGGGUUGCCAAGCCGCGAGGUGGAGCUAAUCCCAUAAAAACCGAUCGUAGUCCGGAUCGCAGUCUGCAACUCGACUGCGUGAAGUCGGAAUCGCUAGUAAUCGUGAAUCAGAAUGUCACGGUGAAUACGUUCCCGGGCCUU
rnacentral:rRNA from 1 species